GGUUAAGCGACUAAGCGUACACGGUGGAUGCCCUGGCAGUCAGAGGCGAUGAAGGACGUGCUAAUCUGCGAUAAGCGUCGGUAAGGUGAUAUGAACCGUUAUAACCGGCGAUUUCCGAAUGGGGAAACCCAGUGUGAUUCGUCACACUAUCAUUAACUGAAUCCAUAGGUUAAUGAGGCGAACCGGGGGAACUGAAACAUCUAAGUACCCCGAGGAAAAGAAAUCAACCGAGAUUCCCCCAGUAGCGGCGAGCGGACGGGGAGCAGCCCAGAGCCUGAAUCAGUGUGUGUGUUAGUGGAAGCGUCUGGAAAGGCGUGCGAUACAGGGUGACAGCCCCGUACACAAAAAUGCACAUAUUGUGAGCUUGAUGAGUAGGGCGGGACACGUGGUAUCCUGUCUGAAUAUGGGGGGACCAUCCUCCAAGGCUAAAUACUCCUGACUGACCGAUAGUGAACCAGUACCGUGAGGGAAAGGCGAAAAGAACCCCGGCGAGGGGAGUGAAAAAGAACCUGAAACCGUGUACGUACAAGCAGUGGGAGCACGCUUAGGCGUGUGACUGCGUACCUUUUGUAUAAUGGGUCAGCGACUUAUAUUCUGUAGCAAGGUUAACCGAAUAGGGGAGCCGAAGGGAAACCGAGUCUUAACUGGGCGUUAAGUUGCAGGGUAUAGACCCGAAACCCGGUGAUCUAGCCAUGGGCAGGUUGAAGGUUGGGUAACACUAACUGGAGGACCGAACCGACUAAUGUUGAAAAAUUAGCGGAUGACUUGUGGCUGGGGGUGAAAGGCCAAUCAAACCGGGAGAUAGCUGGUUCUCCCCGAAAGCUAUUUAGGUAGCGCCUCGUGAAUUCAUCUCCGGGGGUAGAGCACUGUUUCGGCAAGGGGGUCAUCCCGACUUACCAACCCGAUGCAAACUGCGAAUACCGGAGAAUGUUAUCACGGGAGACACACGGCGGGUGCUAACGUCCGUCGUGAAGAGGGAAACAACCCAGACCGCCAGCUAAGGUCCCAAAGUCAUGGUUAAGUGGGAAACGAUGUGGGAAGGCCCAGACAGCCAGGAUGUUGGCUUAGAAGCAGCCAUCAUUUAAAGAAAGCGUAAUAGCUCACUGGUCGAGUCGGCCUGCGCGGAAGAUGUAACGGGGCUAAACCAUGCACCGAAGCUGCGGCAGCGACGCUUAUGCGUUGUUGGGUAGGGGAGCGUUCUGUAAGCCU
rnacentral:rRNA from 1 species